AUUCCUGGAGCCUCUUUUAUUCUUCAGCUCUGAGCAGAGUUCUGAAAUGGACAGUGUUUACCAUUUGUGCCGCAUCCCAAACCACAUAAGUCAUAUUAGUGCACUACGAGUGAUUCACUAGGUAGUGCACACUAUACUAUCAAGUAUUUAGUGAUGGGUGCGUCAUAUUAUUUCAAUUUUAAUGAAGCACUUCGGCCUGGUCUGGUUUUACCAGGAAACACCGGCUUGGCGCCCAGCUGGACGAUAGCACAGCUGAGAUUCGAACCCAGUACUAGACCGCUGCGCCACAAUAACUCUGGAUCGUGACCUGGUUCCGUUCAGGCUCUGUAGAACCUUGGUGCUGUUCAGAGAACCGGCCCACGAUCGUGUUUGCACUGGUUUGUAUUGGAACUGAGGAUGCGUCACCAAUAGAGGGCGCUGCACAACGUACACAACUAAACUAAACAGUCGUGACAAGCUGGGCUUUCAUCUACAACUCGACACGCCCAUGGACGUCGUCACAGUUCAUGCUAAAAAACCUAAAACUCUUCAGUUCCAACUGGGAACCAACGUUCCUGGUUCAGAACCGGUUUAAUUUUGGUGAAAAUGCGCCGAACGGUUGAAAUGUAAGUGCUGAAACUGAGACAGAACCGGUUCCACGCUGGUGGAAAAGAGCUGUAAGGGUGCAGUGAGACUAAAAUAAAGCAUCCAGACUAGAUUAUUAAUCUAUAAAUGAUCUAUACUGUAAUUACUCUACAAAUUAUAAUGAUUUAAUAAUUAAUAAUUAAUGUGAAAUUUGUGGAUAAAACAAACACAAAGCUGCAGAUCAAAGCGAAUCGGCUCCUCUAACUCACAUCAUCACAGAAAACCCCUCAGAUUUGACCUCUCGGUUCUGAAAGACACAAACCGUACCAUCAUGAUGUCACAAUGCACAUUCAGGAUGGGGGUGGGGUCAGUGUAGGGGGUGGAGUCAGGGCAGGGGCGGGGUUAGUUUUGAUGAUGACACACACUAAAUCGUGCAUGGGUUCCCGACAGAUGUAGCAUGAGCUCGUAAGAUGACGGUGGAACGUGUAAUGACGCUCGAUAUAUCGGCACGAACGAUCACAAGCAGAAAAACCACAGAGACGCCGACGGCAUGCGGCUCCGCCCAAUGGCGGAAUAAAUCCCCACAAACACGGAUGGACGGAAGCAUGGGAGUCGUGACGGGAGACACACGUCGACGAAUGAAGGCACUAAUCGCAAGCAGAGUUCAGAAACAGCAAGUGUGGCAGUUCACAGCGCCACCUCUUGGGCUGGAGGUCACGAGAACAAAAGGACGGAUUUGGUGUGUUGGUGUUACCUGAAGAGCAGGCCGUCCCCCGACAUGGCGUAGAUGACCCGGGGCAUGGGGAACAACGAGCCGAACAGACUGACGGUCAGACCGGCGAUGGAACCCAGAGCCACCACGUACUUGGCCGAGUAGAAGCCGUUGAGAGAGAACAUCUCCAUCAGGGCGGCGUCGGCGUCGAUCUGGGUGUAGGGCACCAUCAGGGUCAAAAUCACACUCACCUGGAAACAGGGCGGGGCCACAAACAACACAGGUGAGAUCAGCCGUAGGGCAGGAACGGUCCCUGCUCCCAGUUGGCGCUGUUGACGAAGAAGAGCCCGGCGAUCAUGAUGAAGAUCCAC